rnacentral:lncRNA from 1 species
GAGGACCAGGCGCGGGAGCGGGAGCGGGCGACUGGCCGGGCCCUCCCGGUCUCGGCAGCCACUUCUAGCUCCCGGCCCAGCCGGGAGACGCAGGUGCCACGGAGAUGGGCAGCCGGGCGGGUGGCGCAGUGCAGGCAGCUGUAUCAAUCGCUUCCCCUCCAGGGACCCGCCGGUGCCUGGGGACCGCGGGCUGUGCAGCUGUGCCGGGCCUGCGGAGGCCGCCGCCCGGGAGCUGGGAGGCAGGGGGCGCGUGGUCAAGAGCCGCCCUCGACCUGGCCUGGUCGGUCCUGGCCCGGCGUAGGUGACGAUGGCGGGGACCGCGAGGCGCCGGACACCCGAGGCCACGAGCAGCGUCGCCCCUCGCUUUUUCGCGCCCCUCCAGCCCUGCAGUCCUUCCUCUAAGUCCGUCUGCCCCUCACCGAUUGAAAGUGGCCCCGAGAAUAUUGGAUGAGUGAUCUGGUGUCAGGACUGUAAAAUACGCCUAUGAAAACUGGGGGAGAGGAAUAAAACAAGCUGGCAGAACGUUUUUCAUCGUUGAAGCUGCGUGAUGCGAGCAUAUGUGCUCAUCAUACAGUCUCUUUACUUGUGUAUCUGAAAUUUUCCAUAAUAAAAAGUUUAAAGAAGUGAACCAGCGAUUGCCUCUAGGGAGGACAGUGAGGUGGCGGAUGACGGGAGGAAGGAGUCUUAAUUUUUCGCUGUACGCCUUUUUGUGCUAUCUUAGGUUUUUCCCAUUCAAUGUGUUACCUAAUUCAGAAAAUUGGUAAGUUUUUUUUAAGGCUACCAUGGGAAAACAGCGUUCUAAAGAGUAGCGCAACCAGUUCCCCCUAAGAGAGGUGCAUGAUUCGUCGGACUCCGACAGCCUUGGUGUUUGUUAGGCGGUUAAUGGAGACCCACCUGGGAAAUUAGAAAACUACUAAUUGCUUUCAGUGAGAAGCCCGCCCUUCUCCCACAAAUGGAUAAUUUGCUUUUAAUGCACCCAGAAGUUAUCCAGCUCCCUCCGGUAUAAUCGGGGAAACUCCAAAUAAAGGAAAAAUAGUUCAGAGACCCUGCAGCUCUUCCCAAGAGGAAUUUAAGGUGGAUUUUAGUGUGGUUGGAUUGUUUUGCCUACCUGACUGCAGAAUUUAUAUUCUGACAUUUACAAUUUCCUAAAUACUGAAUCAGUACUUUUUCUUGUUUCAAAAUAAAUCAACUUCUUCUGUAGUUUAUAUGAAAAACAAGUCCAUGUCUUCCACUGUGGGUGGGAUGCACAUGACUGUUUUAUUUGGGUCAGUUUUGUCUCUUUUUUUAAUUGGCAGUUUAGGAACUUGUUUUUAUCAUUUUGUUUAAAGAUCUUCUGGCAGAGGUGCAGGCUGCACUUACUAUAAUUAUUUAGAUGACAAGGUGGUGGGUGGUAAUUAAAGGGUAAUUAUCAUCAGAGGCAAAAGGUAAGAUCAAAAAACCAGAAGAGGUGAGGAAACAAUUGCAAGAUCUUCCUGUAGGAGGGUGUCGUGAUCCUCCCAAGACCAAAGGAUAUGUCUAUUAUGCCUGGCCUCUCUAGUGCUGGACACUUGGCAGGGUCAGUGCCUGCAUGAGGCUGAAGUGGAAGGGCUUAUUGUUUAGACUGGUGCCUUUUGAGGGCUUUUAUGUGAUGGUUGUGUUAAGUAAUGAAACUUAGUAGUGUCAAAUUCUUGCCACUCAAAGAAUGAUCCCCAAUCAGCAGUGUAGCAUCACCUGGAAGCCUGUAAGGAACGCAUAAUUCCUAUCCCUCACCCCAGCUCCACUGAAUCAGAACCUGCAUUUUAACAGGAUUCCCCCAGCUGAUUGGGCUGCACAUUAAAGUUUGACAAGCACUGAUUUAAAGUAUACCCAUAGCAUUUGACAGCAAUCUAGUAUUUUUCGUUAGGAUGAGGGAGAGGAAGGGAGAUGAUUAAGAACCUCCUAUGCAUCAGGUAAGAUGCUAGGCUGUUCAGGGGCCUUGUCUGCUUCCCAGUCCAUUACUCUAUCUUACAAGUAAGGAAAUGGGAAGACUUGUAUGUUACAACUAAUGAGGGAGUCAAACUUUUUCUUGACGGUUGGAUACCCUUUAGUACUUCUUGGUGUUCUUGAAUCUGGUAGAAAGUGGUACAUGAUUUGAGAAGUAAAGUGUGUGUGAGUGUGUGUGUGUGUGUGUGUGUGUGUGUGUAUUUAGUCUGUGGAAGCUUAGUAUAUGAAUAUUAAGCAGAGCUCUUCUGGGCUCUGUACCCUUGUGUGGCUCACACUAAAGACACCCCUCGGGCCCCUCCUGGAGGGAGUUCAGACUCCUGGCCCUGCAGGCUGUACCACCACCUUAACCCCUUACCUCCCUGCUUCCACUGAGGCAAGCAAAUGCCCUGAAGUCCCCUCAUUCCCUUACCAGGGCCCUGGGUUCCACACCAGAAUGAGCAAACAGAACUCCAGUGUGGGUAACACAUGGCUGAACAGCUUUUUGUUGUAUUGUUUUUGUUUUCUUAGUUCUCUCAGCUCAGGCUCCAUCCCCCUGGCCACCUCAACCCCUAGAAUGGUUGUCUCCAUUUCAUGAGAAUCUUCACACUAACAUCAAGUAGCCAGUAGGUGCUUUUGGUUUUGCUAGAAUGCCUGUGUGCAAGCUCUCAGAUACCUGAUUUUCUUUCCCCCACUGAAUGUUGUGUUUGUCAGAAACUGAAAUCAUGGAUCAGAGCCAAGUUUGUAGUACCCUUAGGAGGGGCCUCUGCCCUCCUGUGUGCUGCCUGGGUGAGGACAGAACCCCCUAACCUGGAGCUCCACUUGAGUGGGCCCAUACCUGUACUUUCCUCUGAAAAAAGAAAAUCCUGCAAAGAAAAUAGAAGACAUCUGUUCUGCCAUUGCCAUGCCCUUGUUCUAGCCCAGACAUGAGAACUGUCAGAAUUGGAGUUACUAAAUAGAACUUUUAGUCUUUUUCUGAUAAUGUGUAGUAAAGUGUAUUACAACUUAUAGAAUUCUAUUUAGGGAACUACAGGUCAGAAACUACCAUAUUGGUAGCAGUCAAUUUUUCUUUGCCAUCGGAUGUGGAAUAAAAUGUUAAAUUGUA